rnacentral:rRNA from 1 species
GUCCACGCUGUAAACGAUGACGACUAGGUGUGGGGGGGUCAGUCCCUUCCGUGCCGCAGCUAACGCAUUAAGUCGUCCGCCUGGGGGAGUACGGCCGCAAGGUUGAAACUCAAAGGAAUUGACGGGGGCCCGCACAAGCGGUGGAGCAUGUGGUUCAAUUCGAUGCAGAGCGAAGAACCUUACCUGGGCUUGACAUGUAGGAAGUAGAAACCCGAAAGGGGGACGACCUGUUAAGUCAGGAGCCUACACAGGUGGUGCAUGGCUGUCGU